ensembl:lncRNA
GCGGCGGGAGAGGGAUCGGCUGGGCCUCGGGGCGGUUGGCUAUGGCCUUUACGCUGUACUCGCUGCUGCAGGCAGCCCUGCUCUGCGUCAAUGCCAUCGCCGUGCUGCACGAGGAGCGCUUCCUCAAGAACAUUGGCUGGGGAACAGACCAGGGAAUUGGUGGAUUCGGAGAAGAGCCAGGAAUUAAAUCUCAACUAAUGAACCUGAUUCGAUCUGUAAGAACCGUGAUGAGAGUGCCAUUGAUAAUAGUAAACUCAAUUGCAAUUGUAUUACUUUUACUAUUUGGGUGAAGAUCCACAGAGGAAAUGGAGACUCAUCAGAGGAAGAGCUGCCAGCAGAAGUUACUACUUCAGUCUUUGUUGGAAUAUACAUAUCUUAGCUGGCUCUCCUUGGACUUGACAAAGUGUAAACCUGAGAGUAAAACCAGAGUCCCUAUUUAUCUGAUUUUUUAAAAUAUUGCACUUAUGGUUUCAUUACAAAAAGGUCAGAUCAUCAGAGGCAGUAACUAUGCAGGAUUGGAAUACAUUUGAUUGCUAACUUUUAAUAAAAGUUCACGCUAUGGUAAAGAUUGUUUAAUGGGUACAGGACUGUCACUUAUGUGUUAUUGGAGAUUUUUCUCUUUCACUUCUCAGGGAUGAAUUUUUUUUUUCAAAGUUUUGAAGUUCCUUGUGACUUAGUUAUGAUGUGAGAAUGAUUAUCCUUCUAGACAAAAUUUAAACAUUUUUUUAAAAAGUUAUUACUACAUAUAAAGUGAUUUUAUUUUGAGCUCUUUGGUUAAAUAUUUUGUCUGUAUACUGUCUCAUAUGAAAAAAUCAAAUUUUUGCUAACUAUUGAGGAGUAAUACUCUCUGAUUUCAGGGAGAAUUCUAAUUUUGUAAGUCAGAUAGUCACACGGAUGAUUGUGUUUUUAAGUUUGUUCAUGCAUUUGUUAUUUUAUUAAUUGGCCUGAAUGAUGAGACCAGAAUAGUAUCUACAUAUGUCCAUUGGUAAAGAUAUCUGUGUAGAAAAGUCUAUGCCCUUUUAAACAAUGAUGGGUUAUUUUUUACAAUCAGCAUAAAAGCCUACAGGAGCAGUCCUAAAUAAUCACCCUUAAGCUGUACUGUAUAAGAAGACUUUAUCGUGAAGCAUUUACCUCCCCAAAUCAUCACAUUUCUGUUUCUUGAAGUAGCACAUUAAGGGACGUGAUUUGUAAUUCUUCAUUCUGUCAGUCAAUAGAGCAUUCGUGGCGGAUAAAUUGGUUAUUAUUUUGUUUUUAUGUCUUUGACCAUCCCGUAUUUUCUUAUCCCAUAAUUCUGCUUUGUGCAGAAAGAUUAAAACUAUAUAAAUGGUUUUUUUCUGGAAAUUAUCAGUUAUAAUAUUUUAAAGGGGGGUGGAAUGGCAUCUUUGUUUAUAGGAGAACACUUGUAAAUAAAGUUAAAUUUCCAAGUCAAGCACUUGUUUUUGUACCUUAGUAUAGACCUGUCGAUGUUAACAAUCUCAUUUUGUGUGUAAGACGUAUAUGUUCUUUAAUGUAAAAUCACUGAGCACAGAUUUAAUGAAAGUAAACAUUCACAUUCCGUUUUUUUCUUCAAUGAAUUAACUGAAUUGCUGACAUCCAUCAAGAAGACACAUGAGCAACUGUUAUACAAUGACCUAAGUUACUUUUGAAACUUUGGAGCAGGUAUUGAUGCCUCUUGGUCACACCUGAGCUGGAGAUGGAUGAUCUCUGAGCCAUGAGGGCCUUGUAGCUGAACCAGAGAAAUGUUCGGGAUCCUUAGUUGAUUACUUGGCUCAUAUGAGUAACUCACUUAUUUGGCACUUAGAGGCAGCGUUCUGGCCUUACAAAGAUCUGAUGCAUGAAUCCGAGUUUGAGCCACCGAACAGAUUAAAAAGAAGUAGUUAAUUGAAGGAAUUCCUACAGCCUAUGAGCCAUACAGAAUUUUAAAAAGAAAGAGUUCCUGUCGUGGCUCAGUGGUUAACGAAUCCAACUAGGAACCAUGAGGUUGUGGGUUCGAUCCCUGGCCUUGCUCAGUGGGUUUUAAGGAUCUGGUGUUGCCAUGAGCUGUGGUUGCAGACGCGGCUGGGAUCCCGCAUUGCUGUGGCUCUAGUGUAGGCCAGCGGCUACAGCUCCAAUUAGACCCCAACCUGGGAACCUCCAUAUGCCGAGGGAGCGGCCCUAGAAAUGGUGAAAAGACAAAAAAAAAAAAAAGAGAGAGACCCUGGUCUGAUGUUAUUUUCAUGUAAGACAUUGCAACACACCUUUUACUCGUUUAUGUCAGGAUACUGCCCAAGUUCAUACUCCAGUGGAAACAGCUGAAACAAGGAAGGAUCAGGGUAUCCUUCAGCAAAGCAGGCCUGAGAAUGAAAAGCAUGGACAUCAAAGUAUUUCAUCUCUAGAGGCCACUUAACACAAUUCUAGUUUUACUGUGCCUGAAGGGAGGUCUGUACGAUUUCACUGAUUAACCAUGGUUUCCCCAGAGCAGUUUGGAUUCUGUAACCAUAGCAUCUUUCUUUAGUAGACAGUGACUUAAGUGCCUGCCUGCCAGCCUACAUCGUCCCUUUUUGCCAUUCUCAGGAUUAACAAUUUGUGAUCAUUCUGACUCCAAAUAUUCAUGAUGUUAAUGGUUUUAUGUAUUCUGGCUCUGUGUCUAUAUGCCUCUAACCUGUGGUAAAGGGUCUUGGCUCUAUUAAUAUUUACCAAAUUCAUACCAUAAUUCUUAAUCAGGUUCAGUGGUUUUCAAACUUUGUUAACAGCAGAACCAGAUUUUCAAAGGAAUAAUAACAACUCUAGUGCUCCAAUAUUUCAAACAGAUGAGGCAGGUCCAUUUCUUUAUUUCAAAGGCCCACUGUUCAGCCUCCACCUCACUCCUAUCAAGCUUCCUAAGGCACCUCUGCAAAACCCUAAGCUUUCACAAACAUGAUUAGAAACCUUUUGGUUUUGGUUUCAGUUUUUUAUGGCUACACCUGCAGCAUAUGGAAGUUCCUAGGCUAGGAGUUGAAUCAGAGCUGCAGCUGCUGGCCUGCACCGCAGCUUAUGGCAAUGCCAGAUAAUCUUAACCUACUGAGUGAGGCCAGGGAUUGAAUCUUCAUCCUCAGAGACAACGUUGGGUCCUUAACCCACUGAACCACAACAGGAACUCCAAAAAGUUUUUUUUAUAAUUCCUCUUUAGAUAGGGUAGAUAAAGUGAUCUGUGUGCUAUAGGUAUAUAGUUGUCUCUGUAUGUAUGUUAUAUACUCAUGAAAUGACUUGAGAGAAAGGAAUGUGAGUAAAAUAGGAGGCAGGAUGUUGAUAAUAUGUGAACCAGAACCUUUUAUCAUAUUGACCUCGGAAAGAGAGCAGUGAGUUAUGGCUUGGAGUGCGAUCUUAAUUCUCAGCUCAGGAAUUGAACCUGGGUUGCCUAGAUUAAAAACCAGGAAUCCUAGUCAAUACACCAGCUAGAGGCUAGAAAGCAGUAGUGCCCUGAUUCUUGCCCUGCCCCUCCCCCCAUUGAAAGCAAGAAUGUUUCAAGGAGCAGAGAUGGUAAAAAAAACAGGUAUAGUUUAUUAUUUGAGUCCCACUACAACUUGUGGGAGAGCACAUAGAGAAGUAGUUUAAGUCAGAAGCAAAGAAGUAAUACACACCCUAAAGAGGAGUACGAGUGCCUGAACACCCUGAGUGAGGAACGCACCAGAGAGGUGAUUUAAAUCACUUACAUAGGACAGUUCUGGGUCUUUGUUUUCAUAUGGGCAGUUGCCUUGUUUUAUUUCUCAAACUUGACUGGGCACAGGACCCUCCCCAAUAUGCAUGUGCAAAGACAGAUUCCAGAGCAAAGAAUUCUGGGACGGUAUCAAGACUUCUUAUGGCCUGGGGCCCCCUCCUUUUCUGACCCCUGAGUCUUUCUUUUUUAUUAUUAUUUGUCUUUUUGCCGUUUCUAGGGCCACUCCCAUGACAUAUGGAGAUUCCCAAGCUAGGGGUCUAAUCGGAGCCGAGGCCGCCAGCCCACGCCAGAGCCACAGCAACGCGACCCCUGGAUCUUUCUGCACUCGUGUAAUGGAAGGUCUCCUUGGCCCCAGGAAUGAUCGAAGUGGUCAUCUUAUCUUUUCCCUCCAGACGAGCUCAGCUCUUGCCAUUAACUUUUUUCUUAAGGUGUCAAAGAGUAAGCCAGGCCCUGGAGUUCCCGUCGUGCCUCAGCGGUUAACGAAUCCAACUAGGAACCAUGAGGUUGCGGGUUCCGUCCCUGGCCUUGCUCAGUGGGUUAAGGAUCCAGCAUUGCCAUGAGCUGUGGUGUAGGUUUCAGACGUGGCUUGGAUCCCAUGUUGCUGUGGCUGUGGUGUAGGUGGGCAGCUACAUCUCCAAAUGGACCCUUAGCCUGGGAGACUCCAUAUGCUGUGGGUGCGGCCCUAAAAAAGG